GAAUCCAUGGCUGAAUGGUUAAAGCACCCAACUCAUAAUUGGGAAGUCGCAGGUUCAAUUCCUGCUGGAUGUACA